rnacentral:rRNA from 1 species
UACGUAGGGUCCAAGCGUUGUCCGGAUUUAUUGGGCGUAAAGAGCUCGUAGGCGGUUCGGUAAGUCGGAUGUGAAAACUCAGGGCUCAACCCGGAGACGCCAUCCGAUACUGCUGUGACUCGAGUCUGGUAGGGGAACACGGAAUACCUGGUGUAGCGGUGAAAUGCGCAGAUAUCAGGUGGAACACCGAUGGCGAAGGCAGUGUUCUGGGCCAGUACUGACGCUGAGGAGCGAAAGCGUGGGGAGCAAACAGGAUUAGAUUACCCGUGUAGUCC